CGUCGAAAAAGUCCAUUUUUCGAUGCGACGUCGCUUUUUCGCCUUUUUCCACAUGAUUCAAAUUGGAUCAGCUUUCUCCUCUUGACACUCGAACGUUUCUUUUAAAGAAUUUCAUCGAGACAAAUUCGACUGCAGCUUUAUUAGAUUCACAUGCGAAUAUAUCUAAGAUAUUUGGCAUGAUACCGUUUUCGGGCAGGGGAAAAAGAUAAAGUCAGAGGGGAUUGAACGCGCGCAACAACUACCUAUUUUUGUACCAGACAUGUUAUAGAACAACAAACAAGGAAAGAAUGCGGAUAAAAUUGGUAAUCCAGGUGAGCGCUGUUGACGUGGACCAACAUCUCCGUAGGCGAAAUCUCGCCUAGAUCACAGAACGGACAGUUGGCGGCACCUUGGAGAUGAUACUGCACCAUAUGCGAACGCAUUUCCUCAUCGUUGAAGCCCUCCAGACCGCAUAUCUCGCACGUGUAAUUCAUCUCCGGUGGUUUACUGGACGCC